rnacentral:piRNA from 1 species
UUAAUGAAUGACAUUUUUAAUAAGGAGUGC